UACAGAGGGGGCAAGCGUUAUUCGGAAUUAUUGGGCGUAAAGGGCUCGUAGGUGGCCAACUAAGUCAGACGUGAAAUCCCUCGGCUUAACCGGGGAACUGCGUCUGAUACUGGAUGGCUUGAGUUUGGGAGAGGGAUGCGGAAUUCCAGGUGUAGCGGUGAAAUGCGUAGAUAUCUGGAGGAACACCGGUGGCGAAGGCGGCAUCCUGGACCAACACUGACACUGAGGAGCGAAAGCCAGGGGAGCAAACGGG
rnacentral:rRNA from 1 species